rnacentral:rRNA from 1 species
UACGUAGGGGGCAAGCGUUGUCCGGAUUUAUUGGGCGUAAAGAGCGUGUAGGCGGCUGGGUAGGUCCGUUGUGAAAACUCGAGCUCAACCUCGAGACGCCGAUGGAAACCCUCCAGCUAGAGUCCGGAAGAGGAGAGUGGAAUUCCUGGUGUAGCGGUGAAAUGCGCAGAUAUCAGGAAGAACACCGAUAGCGAAGGCAGCUUACUGGGCUGUAACUGACGCUGAGGCACGAAAGUGUGGGGAUCAAACAGG